rnacentral:rRNA from 1 species
UGGGGAAUAUUGCACAAUGGGCGCAAGCCUGAUGCAGCCAUGCCGCGUGUAUGAAGAAGGCCUUCGGGUUGUAAAGUACUUUCAGUCGUGAGGAAGGUUCAUGCGUUAAUAGCGUAUGGAUUUGACGUUAGCGACAGAAGAAGCACCGGCUAACUCCGUGCCAGCAGCCGCGGUAAUACGGAGGGUGCGAGCGUUAAUCGGAAUUACUGGGCGUAAAGCGCAUGCAGGUGGUUCGUUAAGUCAGAUGUGAAAGCCCGAGGCUCAACCUCGGAACUGCAUUUGAAACUGGCGGACUAGAGUACUGUAGAGGGGGGUAGAAUUUCAGGUGUAGCGGUGAAAUGCGUAGAGAUCUGAAGGAAUACCAGUGGCGAAGGCGGCCCCCUGGACAGAUACUGACACUCAGAUGCGAAAGCGUGGGGAGCAAACAGGAUUAGAUACCCUGGUAGUCCACGCCGUAAACGAUGUCUACUUGGAGGUUGUGGCCUUGAGCCGUGGCUUUCGGAGCUAACGCGUUAAGUAGACCGCCUGGGGAGUACGGUCGCAAGAUUA